CUUCACGGAAUGGACGGCCCAAAUUAUGUUAGUGUCUAUAUGUUUACUUGGUGGUGGUCUAGCGUGAGUGACACCUGCAUCUGUAACUUACCCAUUGGAUGUUCUUCGAAAUCACCUGACAACACAGAAAACCACUAGGUAUUACAAGGGCACCUUUCACACGUUGUCUACAAUUUGUAGAGAAGAGAAUGGUAGAGGAUUGUAUAAAGGCCUUUGGUCCACCUUAUUGGGAGUUGGACCUGAUAUAUCAAUCAACGUUUAUGUAUAUGAAUCCCUGAGGUCUCAUUGGAAAAAUGGAAAGUUGAAUGUCAAACUGUGCGACCAAUGAUUUGAUAUGGUUAAUUCCAGUUGGGUGUGUUAACCUACAGUAAUCAAUCAAGUCAACAAAUAUAACAAUGAUACUUUGUCUUCUGAUUUUGGUGAUGAUUUUUUUGUGACUGAACUAACAGGAGUUGAAGCAUAUGUGUUCUUAUUUUUUUAUAUGACUACAUGCAUAUGAACUGAAGCUCCAUAAUUUUCUUUUCAAGUCGACAUUGGUGGCAACCAAUACAAUUAGCGUUAUUUACAACCAAUGAAGUCUUAUAAUUUUCUUUCUUAGAAAUAUACGGUGACGCUGACUAUCAUUUAGUAGCUCUACAGGCACUAGCCUAAAACAAUAAUGUUUAUUUAUUUAACCACCAAAUAGAACAAUAGGUUAUUCUGCAUUAUGGGUACACAAAUCACAACACUAUAUUUCAGCUGUAGAAAUCUGUGUGGAUGCCUGCUGAUAUUUUAAGCCUACAUAUUGCCGAUUUGGUUUGAGUAAUGCUUGAAGCAUAAUUUACUCCCUAAUGUGCAAAUAGCAGUAUCAUUUUUUGUCAAGAAACUGAGAAGACGGAAGAGAGUUGGUGUUGUCAGUGUGGUGAGCCUAUGUGGCAACCACAAGGCUGAAGUCUGCUUUGAUCGUUGUUCAAGAUUUGAGCCUUGGCUCCGGUUUUGAUAGCUCUAUAUCAGUGAGUUUAGUCCAGUAACUAUUUUAAGUAUCUUUACUGUGCAUAGUUGCAUACAUUUUAUUCAUGGAUUAGUCUUGGUAAUAUUAACAUUUGAAAAGCAAUUUUUGUGUGACCAUUUUUUCAUCUUAGUAUCUCCAUCUACCAGCAAAAGUCAACGUGCACAAACCUGUAUUUAACAUGCAACAUGAGAUAGUGUGCAUCGAAACUAUGCUUAUGUUUGUGACAUUCAUGUGGCAUCUCAUGCAGAUAGAUUUUAUUAUCCAUUUCUGUAGCAUGCAAUGUUUAUUUUCUUCUUUUGGUCCAUAAUCCCUCCUCAAAGAAAUAUAAGAGUGUUUAGAUCACUAAAGAAGUGAUCUAAACGCUCUUAUAUUUCUUUACAUAUGGAGUACAUGUCAUGAUUGUUGGAUACACAUGCAGACUUUUAGCGAGUUUUUGUUCUCGGACUUGGGAUCCACAGUCCAAAGUUGAUUGGUGGAUCAAGUGAACUUGGUGCAUCUCCAUUCAAGCUGGAGUACAAUUACCAGCCUGCUUGUUUAGCGCAGUCUCCACAAUCAUACAAGCAAAUGAGCAGCUGGCGACCCAACACACAAAGUUUCUAUCUUCUUAUUUUCUAUACAAGUAGCAGCUGGCGCAGCGGUGGUGUUGAUGAACGACACCCAAUGCAGAGGCGGCAGUUACCAUAGGGAAGAGGUCAAGAACAUCUAGCUCUUGUGGUGUUCCUCCUCAUUAUUGUCAUCGCCAUCAACAACAACAAUGACGACCGGCUCAUGAGACAGCUACUAGAGAGGGAGCGAGGAAGGGGGAGACAGAUCUUUCAGGUACAAUGGAGCUCGGUCAAAAAUCACCUAAGGAAAAUAUGUUGUUCUUCUCUACAAGGGUUGCAUGUGGAAUUUGAGGAGAAUCUGUGCACCAGCAUCCGACUCCUUGAUGUUGCUAUGAUCAUAUUGUGUAAAUAUAUUUCUAAUAAAGCAAUCGCCCGAUGGUGUACACGUUAUAAAUAACAAGAAUCAUCAAGUGUGAGAGAUGGCAACAUCAUGAUGGGAUGAUGGAUUGAAAAGUACCAAAGAUUGAUGCCAAGCAGAACUAAAACCUGUCCAUGGAUUACCUUCAGUCCCGCAUUCCAAUCAACAACAUUGGGCCGAGCGAGCGCGCGGGUGGCACAAGAGGCAAUGGGCAGCUGGUGGAGACUGAGUGGUGAGCGGCGGUGGCGAGGUCGAGAGGUUGGCACCAGCGGCGAGUAGGCAAUUGCCGUGACGGUCGAGUGGACGGGGCUUGUAGGUGUCACGAUUGCAUCACAAUUGGAAUAAAGUAAACAAUGCAUACUCGUGUGGCCAUUGACUGAUUUUGUGUGUUGUGUGCUUGUGUUAACAGCCAGCCAAAUCAAUCAGCCAAGGGCCAUUAUGUAGGUGAGUGUGUUAGCAGUGGGUAUAUCUGAAGAUUAUUUCUCAACUCGGCAUGUGGGUAGAGACUAAAAAGACAAUGCCAUGGUAGCAUGGCAGACCUGGCAAGUGCCACGAACAUCAUGAUAUUCUUCCUUUCCUUAAUUCCUUGAUUUGAAAAA